UACGGGGGGGGGCAAGCGUUGUUCGGAAUUACUGGGCGUAAAGCGCGCGCAGGCGGCCAUUCAAGUCAGGGGUGAAAGCCCAGAGCUCAACUCUGGAACUGCCCUUGAAACUGUAUGGCUUGAGUAUGAGAGAGGUGAGUGGAAUUCCCAGUGUAGAGGUGAAAUUCGUAGAUAUUGGGAAGAACACCGGUGGCGAAGGCGGCUCACUGGCUCAUUACUGACGCUCAGGCGCGACAGCGUGGGGAGCAAACAGG
rnacentral:rRNA from 1 species